CAUCGCUAGAAAGCUGAUCGUUUCCGCCAUCUUUCUGUGCAAAAACAUUCUAAAAAUAGAUAUUCCACGUGAGGCUAUCGUCGGUUUUUCCCGCGAAUCAUUCGUACGUAAAUUACCAUUUAAGGAGAAAUAUCCCGUAAUGCAACAUUCGGGAAUAUUCGUUCGAUCCAAAUAAAGUAAAACGUAUCCCACAAUGCACCAUUCGGCUUAGCAACAAAACACCGGUCUUUUCCGGUAGGUAUACAAAAUGGCGGCUGCUUUGCGAAAAGAUUAACAGGCAAACAUCGUUUUUGAUAUUUUCUUAACUGAAAAUUGUUUUGUUUUUUUAAAAUGAGGUCAAAACACGGGUCACAACACGCCUAUGGUUAGAAUAGGAGGCGAAGGGCAAGUCAGUUGAAGCAGGCACGUUCGAAAUGCGGUGUUAGAGUUACGACCCGUGUUGACAGCGCGAUCAUCCCUGUGUCAGAUUCUGACAGCUUGGACGUUUUAGAUGCAUCGGAAUCAUCCGGGGACCACGCCGUUGGGGAAAACAUCCCCGUUGGAGACAAUGAAGGCUUGCGGCGGCCAUCUUGGAUGUUUCCAUGGCAACCGGUGGCAACAUCACCUGGAAAAGACUCCAUUUCAAUUGUUAAUAUGUAUACCUCAAAGUUGUAACCCAUUAAAACUAACAAAUACUU